rnacentral:RNase_P_RNA from 1 species
CGAGUAGGCCGGACGGUCGCGGGCGCGGGCGCCGAAAGGUUGCGCCCGAGGAAAGUCCGGGCUCCGCAGGGCGAGGCGCUGGGUAAUGCCCAGCGGGGGCAACCCCAGGGAAAGUGCCACAGAAACGGACCGCCGGCGGGAAGCAAGGGUCGUUGCAGAGGGACGCCUCUAAUUGGUGGAGGGGACCGCUUACAGCCCUGGCUUCCCGUUUUGACCGGCAAGGGUGAAAAGGUGGUGCAAGAGACCACCGGCGGUCGGGCGACCGGCCGGCCGGGCAAACCCCGCCUGGAGAAAGACCAAAUAGGAGGGGGAUGACGCUGCCCGCUGAUUCCCUCGGGUAUGGUCGCUCGAAGCGUCGGGCAACCGGCGCUCCAGAUAGAUGACCGUCCACGACAGAACCCGGCUUACAGGCCUACUCAACCC